ACUCACACACCCAAAGCGCCUCGCUGCAUCGUUGGUGAAAAGGUUCGUUCAGUCUUAUCGCUUUUCAGCCAGUAGCGGAUUUCAAACCGGAUGCGCCAAUGCGUGUAAACCCGGGUGAAAAAGGAGCGAUUGCCGAGUUGAGUUUCACCCUUAGGCAGAGUUAUUCAGCGGCAGAUCCCAUUGAGCCCAACGGAGAUGUCGCCUACAUGGGCUGGUAAUGAGCGUGUAUCCCACUGCAUUCAUCUUAGCUAAGAGUCCCCUAAAAUCGUUACAUCAGUAAAAAGAUGCACUUGGAAUCGGAUAGCGGAGAACCGCAGCUCUACGGAGUUACUCGGAGGAAGGACCCAUUGAGCAAAAUGAUGCCCCUUCCCAAGACACAUGAAGUAUUGCGUGCGGGGCGAUUGUAGUUUUAUUUGCACGCUUUUGCUUGUUGGCAGAUCCCGUUAAAGGCCAAGGAACUGCUCCUAAAAAUCACUUCACAUUGGCAACUACUAGUUGUGCCUGAAUUUUGAUCCGGAUUUAAUGUUCGAAAUAGCAUUGGGUUCAGUGUCGCCUACUCACUGGACGAAAUAGCACUGGGUUCAGUGUCGCCUACUCACAAGUUUUGGAGCUUAGAUGACAUGAUGAUUCCUUCCAGUUGUCCAACAUCAACCUAUAAAAAGGGUGAGUUGGCUGUGGCGAGCUGGUUGUGGCAAAUAGUCUCAUUCCAAGAAACCUCUUGAUUGAAGGAUUUACUGGAAGAAUGGGAAGCCAGGAACGCUGCGGAUGACUAGAGAAAUUAUUUUAUAACAAAGAUGGAACUCACACAGACCGUUUGGAACCUCGGUAUUGAAUAGCUUCCAGAAACACACCUUCUGUCCACAACAAUGCUUCCAAAAUGCUUUGAAAACAUUUCUAAAGCUUAUUUUCUGUUUUCAAGUUGAAUGACAACUAAGGGGGGGUGGGGAAAUGUAAAACUACCCAGCACUCCAUCUGACUAUCAGUGGAGUCAAUUGGACUUGGUUGAGAGAAUAUCAGGUUGAAAUCCAUAUUUAUCGACCAAGCUCAGCAAGUGACCAAGGAUACAUCUCUGGCUGGAAUUCACAUGAGGAACUAAGCAAUAAAGUUCUUUUGGUUUGGGCUUAGCUCCAGCUACAAAUCCAGCCGAGAUUGUUUGUAAAAUGUGAUUUAUUCCUUUGCAUGUUGUGUUAAAUUCUUGAUCUUAUUCAACAAACUAUAAUUAAAAUAAUAAUGUACUCUGGGAAUUUAAAUUCUUCUCUCUUGGUCUAACUUACUUUACAAGUUUUCCGAUGAUAGACUUACUUACUUACUUACUUACUUACUUACUUACUUACUUACUUACUUACUUACUUACUUAUUUAUUUAAGUUAUUGGCCACCCAUCCUACCACACAAUAACUCUGGGAAGCUUACAAUAUUACUCCCUGUAACCCCUUAAUUUUGGUGUGGAAUCGAGGCUGCUGGAUGGAGCUGUGCAUUUGCUGGCCGGAUGCCCUUCCUGAUGCCAUGUGGAGUUCGCAGAUUUAUUUAUUUUUUAUGCACUGUAUGAGAGAAACAUCUGCAGCUAGGUAGGAUUGAAUUCUCAACUUUCUGAGUGGGAGGCGAGCGUCUUCACCACUAGGCCACCAGCCGCUCAGGGCAGCUUACAAUAUGAAAAGAAUAAAACUGUAUAAAACCAAUACACAAUACGAAUAUUUAAAAAUAUACUCAACACUAACUAAAAGGGAGUAGGAUGAGCAGGA